UGUCCCAGUUCGGACUGGAGUCUGCAACCCGACUCCACGAAGUUGGAUUCGCUAGUAAUCGCGCAUCAGCCAUGGCGCGGUGAAUACGUUCCCGGGCCCUUGUACACACCGCCCGUCAAGCCAUGGGAGCCGGGGGCGCCUGAAGUCCGGGACCGCGAGGACCGGCCUAGGGCGAAACUGGUAACUGGGGCUAAGUCGUAACAAGGUACC
rnacentral:rRNA from 1 species